UGCAGCUUGGCGUUGUGGUUGCCCCACAUGCAUUAAAGUUGCCCGAAGAGCCCAUCACCCAGAGGGGUGAGUACUGGUGCGAGGUGACGGUAAAUGGACUUGACACUGUGAGGGUACCUAUGUCGGUGGUGAACUUUGAGAGGCCCAAAACCAAAAGAUAUAAGUACUGGUUAGCCCAGCAAGCUGCCAAGGGAAUGGCCUCCACCAGCUUCCAGAAGAUCUGAACCUGUUCUCCCUUGAAAGCAGCGAAGCAGAAACAGGAACGGUGGAGCAAAGAUGAACCAGCACCGUGAUGCUGCUCCUAGCUCUGACCAAACACGGGAUUUUAGAGAGCGUACGGAGGCACCAACAGCAGACCGGACUGUAUGUAUGUGUUGAAUCGUCCAUAUUUGCCAUCUUCAACAGUUACCACGUUUGGCCUUAUUGGGGAUGACUGCUCCAGAAGUACAGGCUGUGGAUUUGAUAAGCUAAAUGUUAAUAGACCAAAAGAGUCUAGAUCCUACUUAGCCUCUUCCUUCAUUGGAAUUCAUUGCAAUAAAUGGUAGAGCUAGCUAGCUUAUUCUCAUCAUCCAAACUGAACACUGUAUCUAAGAAAAAAUAAAAAGCUUGUGUUCUUUUUA